UCCUUCUCUUGAUCCCAAAGAAACUUGUGGUUCUCUCUGAUGACAUCGUGAUCAGUCUUGUCUCGGGACCUCGAAACGUCAAGUGCUGCUUGUUACAAAUUUUAUCCAAUUACAACCUUCGUGUGCUAUUAAUGAAUGAUAGAGCCAUCGCAAGGAAAUGCCAGUGAAGGCCUGAGCAGUAUUCUUAAGUCAUAAAACAAUUAUGGUGCGCUACUUUAAGACAAAGGUUUAAAACAUAAAACAUUGUCUUAAGAGUACAAGACAGCCAUUCCGAUAAAAAGGAUAAAACAAUUUUGAAGGACAACUGUUCGAGAAGAAAGCACAGAUCCACUCAUACUUUUGUAUUACAAUCCCAUACAGCAGCACGCAUGUCCAAAAGACAUCUUUAAGACAUCUUUAAGUCGUCUUUUAGACAUACAUAUCUUAAAGACGUCUUAACUGGUCUUAACGAUGUCUUUCAGACAUGAGUGCCGCGUGGGAUGUUAAAUAAUAUAGUGUAACUUAUAAUUACAGAAUACAACGAACAACUUGGAUCAGAUAUAAUUCUCAGGGACACUCCCGGCGUAGUGAAUCGCCUAAGAG